UUGUUGCAUGAGCCGUGGGUGUUUGAUAACUCUCAAUAUUGAAGGCCCUUAAGCUGAAACUGUUGUGGUUGUGACACCAAAACAGAAGAAUAUUAUUGAUCUUUUAUGAGAAAAGAGCUUGUUUCGCUGAUAUCAGUUACAUGAUAGUCUAUAACUUAAUUGAUUUGUCUUCCUCUUGCUUGUAUAAAUUAUCAAUUGAGUUAUUCAACACUCGUUGUUUAAUAACAUGAUCAGCCUGGUGGUAAGCAAUAUGAUUUGAUAUCUUCCCUUGGAAUA